rnacentral:rRNA from 1 species
AGAGUUUGAUCAUGGCUCAGAGCGAACGCUGGCGGCAGGCCUAAUACAUGCAAGUCGAACGGCUCUUCGGAGCAGUGGCGGACGGGUGAGUAACGCGUGGGAACGUGCCCUUUGGUUCGGAACAACACAGGGAAACUUGUGCUAAUACCGAAUGUGCCCUUCGGGGGAAAGAUUUAUCGCCAUUGGAGCGGCCCGCGUUGGAUUAGCUAGUUGGUGGGGUAAAGGCCCACCAAGGCUACGAUCCAUAGCUGGUCUGAGAGGAUGAUCAGCCACACUGGGACUGAGACACGGCCCAGACUCCUACGGGAGGCAGCAGUAGGGAAUCUUGCGCAAUGGGCGAAAGCCUGACGCAGCCAUGCCGCGUGAAUGAUGAAGGUCUUAGGAUUGUAAAAUUCUUUCACCGGGGAAGAUAAUGACGGUACCCGGAGAAGAAGCCCCGGCUAACUUCGUGCCAGCAGCCGCGGUAAUACGAAGGGGGCUAGCGUUGCUCGGAAUUACUGGGCGUAAAGGGCGCGUAGGCGGACAUUUAAGUCAGAGGUGAAAGCCCAGGGCUCAACCUUGGAAUUGCCUUUGAUACUGGAUGUCUUGAGUUCGGGAGAGGUGAGUGGAAUGCCGAGUGUAGAGGUGAAAUUCGUAGAUAUUCGGCGGAACACCAGUGGCGAAGGCGACUCACUGGCCCGAUACUGACGCUGAGGCGCGAAAGCGUGGGUAGCGAACAGGAUUAGAUACCCCGGUAGUCCAA